AUACGGAGGAUCCGAGCGUUAUCCGGAUUUAUUGGGUUUAAAGGGUGCGCAGGCGGCCAUUUAAGUCAGCGGUUAAAUCGUGGGGCUCAACCCCAUUCUGCCGUUGAUACUGGGUGGCUUGAUUGCGGUCGAGGUUGGCGGAAUUCGUUGUGAAGCGGUGAAAUGCAUAGAUAUGACGAAGAACACCGAUUGCGUAGGCAGCUGACCAGACCGCAAAUGACGCUCAUGCACGAAAGUGCGGGGAUCGAACAGGAUUAGAUACCCUGGUAGUCCGCACAGUAAACGAUGAAUACUUGUUUUCGGCGAUAUAAUGUCGGAGGCAAAGCGAAAGCGAUAAGUAUUCCACCUGGGGAGUACGCCGGCAACGGUGAAACUCAAAUGAAUUGACGGGG
rnacentral:rRNA from 1 species